rnacentral:rRNA from 1 species
GACGAACGCUGGCGGCGUGCUUAACACAUGCAAGUCGAACGGAAAGGCCCUGCUUUUGUGGGGUGCUCGAGUGGCGAACGGGUGAGUAACACGUGAGUAACCUGCCCUUGACUUUGGGAUAACUUCAGGAAACUGGGGCUAAUACCGGAUAGGAGCUCCUGCUGCAUGGUGGGGGUUGGAAAGUUUCGGCAGUUGGGGAUGGACUCGCGGCUUAUCAGCUUGUUGGUGGGGUAGUGGCUUACCAAGGCUUUGACGGGUAGCCGGCCUGAGAGGGUGACCGGCCACAUUGGGACUGAGAUACGGCCCAGACUCCUACGGGAGGUAGCAGUGGGGAAUAUUGCACAAUGGGCGGAAGCCUGAUGCAGCAACGCCGCGUGCGGGAUGACGGCCUUCGGGUUGUAAACCGCUUUCGCCUGUGACGAAGCGUGAGUGACGGUAAUGGGUAAAGAAGCACCGGCUAACUACGUG